rnacentral:lncRNA from 1 species
ACUGCGUUAACCUGCUGCUGACUUCGGGGGUGUCUACUGAUGUUUCUGAUUUAAACGAAUUUACGCCUUUACACUUUGCCGCCGCACACGAACACCACAGGUGUGUGGAGGCCCUGGUGUUUGGUGGGGCUGAUGUGGACCAAAGGGCCAUUGGGGGAAAGACCCCUCUGUUCAUGGCCAGCGGAGCCGACAGGCUGGACUGUACCAGUGCCUUGCUCAACGCCGGGGCCGACCGCUCAAGAGCCACCACCGACAGCUGCACGGCUCUCCACGCGGCGUUCAGCUUGGGACAUGUGGACACUCUGCGGCUCCUCCUCUGCCACCCUGCCCCUGACUGUACCCACAUCAUGACCCUAACCCUGACUGCAACCAUAGUCCUGGUCCUGCCACGAUCCCGGUCCUGUUUAGCACCUUGCUCAACCAGGACAACUGUGAGGGCUGGACCACUGCACACAUCACUGCUGCCAGGGGCUUCAAGGUACUGGGACACAGAUCAUGUACUGUUAUCUCAGACAUAUGGAGGUAUACUGAAUAACGUACAGUACUAUACAUAUAGACUCACAGACACACCAUCAGGAACUUCUCUCUGUAUGGUUAGCAUGCUCUCUGUCCUCAUAGGUAAGGAGCUGUAAUGAUUGUCAUUCAAUUGAUUCACUUCUUAUCCUAUGAUCCUAUUAGAAAUACCUGUCACGCCCUGACCAUAGAGAGCCUUUUUCAUUCGCAAUUUUGGUUAGGUCGGGGUGUGACUAGGGGGGUGUUUCUAUCUAGGUGUUCUAUUUCUAUGUUGGCCUGGUAUGGUUCUCAAUUAGAAGCAGCUGUUUAUCUUUGUUUCUGAUUGGGGAUCAUAUUUAGGUAGCCAUUUCCCCACUGUGUUUUGUGGGAUCUUGUUUUGAGUUAAUGCAUGUAGCACCUCUGAUGUUACGGUUAGUUAUUUGUUUCCUUUUGUUUUGUAAGUUUCACUAAAUACAAUAUGUGGAACUCAAAGCACGCUGCGCCUUGGUCCGUCUCUCCACACAACCGUGACAAUACCAAUAUGACUUUAACACUUUGACAUGGCCUCAGCUAUUGAUGUUGAUGUUUACCACAGUGUAGCUUAGCACGCUAUCUCUAAAGGAUAUCCCAACUAGCCCGCUAUCUCUAAAGGAUAUCCCAACUAGCCCACUAUCUCUAAAGCCCAACUAGCCCGCUAUCUCUAAGGGAUAUCCCAACUAGCCCGCUAUCUCUAAAGAAUAUCCCGACUAGCCCGCUAUCUCUAAAGGAUAUCCCGACUAGCUCGCUAUCUCUAAAGGAUAUCCCGACUAGCCUGCUAUCUCUAAAGGAUAUCCCAAACAGAGAGAAUGCACGUUGGUCCCUGUCGCAGGCAGUGAGCAGGGCCUUGUCAGUUAUUUUAGACGUAUCCCCCAACCAGAGCCAAGUUUACCGAGGUGUUGCAGUCUAUUUUGAGCUGCAAUGCAACACGGUCCAAACAGCUGCUGUCCCUGACCGCCUCCUGACCGCCUCCUGAUUCAAGUUUGAAUUUCCCCUUGUCAGCAUGAUGGAAUGGAUGGCACCCAACGGAAGACCAAGCACCCAGCGACUCCCUGCUGAACUGAAUCGCUUAUAUAAAUGGGAAUCUUUCUUAUUCUCUCUGAUAAAUCGCUCUUACAGUAUAAGUUGAUUCCAGGGGGAUCACUAUGGGAAGUAUGGGUCUUAAGAAAAAUCGUUUUCAUUUGAUUCACUGUAGGUGAAUCACCGGCCCUCUAUUAUCUCUCAACGUUACUAACUAUUUAAUUGGACAUAUAAGUAGAUGAAUAGCAGGCUGUAAAAUAAAACAAACUUUUUUUGUUAAGAAAGAGCUGUCUUAUGAAUGACUGUCAAUAAAGUUUAAUUUAGUUGUAUUCACAUUCACAGGUAAAAGCUGAAUUGCAGUGACUGUUGGAUGAAUCGUUUUGGAAAUAAUUGACUCCUUGAUAGCUGAUUAUUGAUAUCAGGGCUCUUCCAGGCACCUGGCAUUGCAGCUGGUGUAGCAAAGGUCAUAGGCACACACACACAAGCCCACGCAUACUCACACAAACACAAUCUCUCUCUAUCACUCUCUUUCUAUUUCUGUAUCACACACAUCCUUACACAGGGCAGCUCUGUUGGAUGACACUCGUCCCUGGGUCCUGUCCAAAGGUGUGACCGGGCCAAGCUGGAGAGGGCUGGGACACGAGCCUAAUUGAGCUUGGCCCAAUCACAACACACCACACUCACACUGAGAGGCUGCCCAAAAUAAACACACACACACACACACACGUUGAGCUCUAUUCAAUCCACGUCGCGGAAGUUCAGCUUUACAGCGUGAUUGAAAUUUAAAGGCAAUGUUCCCGCUUUAGUGGAGACUGCAUUCACAAUAAACGCUGAAUAUGUCAACUCAGUUGGAAAUUACCUUUAAGUUUCUAUUGCGGAAUCUGUACAGAUUGAAUAGGGCCCUUUAACUCUCUAUAAUUGAAUCGAGUAGUUUAUAAUAUAUUAUAUUUCUCCAAGGAGGCAAUUUCCUGGUCACAUUGUUUGGACAAACUCCCCAAUGUGUCCUGUCUAAGAAUUACUAAUCUAAUCUGGGUCCUGUCUAUGAAUUACUAAUCUAAUCUGUGUCCUGUCUAUGAAUGACUAAUCUCGGCACCCAGAACCAAAUCAACUAUUCCAAUUUGAAAAUGUCAAUGUUAAUGCUGUGUCAUGACUCUCCUGUGAAGAUCUGAAGGAUCAGGUUACAGUGGGUCCGCUCUACAGCAUGCUCUCUCUCGUAGAGGGGGAGAGCGGGAAGUCGGCUGUUUUAUGAUGGUCGUAAAUACCGAAACUCCUUUCCCCACUCUGCCAAAAGGAAAGUUGAGAAUCCCUUUGUUACCACAGAGAAAGACUUUGCAGUACGGUAACCUCAAAAGGUUUUCUAAUGUAACAAUAUUUAUGUAUUCCAACCAGUUGGAAUGGUCCGUGGGUAUUUAAACAAUAAUCAUGUCCAACAUUUACUGUGUGGUGAUUGAAGAUGUUAUAACAGAAACAUUGUAACUUUAAGAGCUUUCACAAUGUAUUUCUCAUAUUUACAUCUACAUGUUGUGAAACUACUUCUCACAAAUAUGAAGAUGAA